GAGGGUAUAGCUCAAGUGGCAGAGCACAUGUCUAGCAUGCAUGAGGUCCUGAGUUCAAUCCCCGGCACCUCCU
rnacentral:tRNA from 1 species